UACAGAGGUGCCAAGCGUUGUUCGGAUUUAUUGGGCGUAAAGGGUGCGUAGGCGGUCAUAUAAGUCGGAUGUGAAAUACCGGAGCCUAACUCCGGAAUGGCAUUCGAAACUAUAUGGCUAGAGAUCUGCAGAGGUGAUUGGAAUUCUCGGUGUAGCAGUGAAAUGCGUAGAUAUCGAGAGGAACACCAGAGGCGAAGGCGAAUCACUGGACAGAAUCUGACGCUGAGGCACGAAAGCUAGGGGAGCAAACGGG
rnacentral:rRNA from 1 species